rnacentral:rRNA from 1 species
UAGGGAAUCUUCCGCAAUGGGCGAAAGCCUGACGGAGCAACGCCGCGUGAGUGAUGAAGGUCUUCGGAUCGUAAAACUCUGUUAUUAGGGAAGAACAAAUGUGUAAGUAACUAUGCACGUCUUGACGGUACCUAAUCAGAAAGCCACGGCUAACUACGUGCCAGCAGCCGCGGUAAUACGUAGGUGGCAAGCGUUAUCCGGAAUUAUUGGGCGUAAAGCGCGCGUAGGCGGUUUUUUAAGUCUGAUGUGAAAGCCCACGGCUCAACCGUGGAGGGUCAUUGGAAACUGGAAAACUUGAGUGCAGAAGAGGAAAGUGGAAUUCCAUGUGUAGCGGUGAAAUGCGCAGAGAUAUGGAGGAAUACCAGUGGCGAAGGCGACUUUCUGGUCUGUAACUGACGCUGAUGUGCGAAAGCGUGGGGAUCAAACAGG